rnacentral:rRNA from 1 species
AGCGAACGCUGGCGGCGUGCCUAACACAUGCAAGUCGAACGGGAAGGGCUCCGGCCUUGUACCGUGGCGCACGGGUGAGUAACACGUGGGUAAUCUACCUUCGAAUGGGGGAUAACCAACCGAAAGGUUGGCUAAUACCGCAUAAGACCACGGUUUCGAAAAGAGACAGGGGUCAAAAGGCCUGAGGGCCGUUUGAAGAUGAGCCUGCGUCCCAUCAGCUAGUUGGCAGGGUAAUGGCCUACCAAGGCUUAGACGGGUAGCUGGUCUGAGAGGAUGAUCAGCCACACUGGAACUGAGACACGGUCCAGACUCCUACGGGAGGCAGCAGUGGGGAAUAUUGCGCAAUGGCGAAAGCCUGACGCAGCAACGCCGCGUGGGUGAUGGAGGCCUCGGUGUAAGACCGUGUCGGUGGACGAACAAGGUCCGU